AUUGAACGCUGGCGGCAGGCCUAACACAUGCAAGUCGAGCGAGCGGCGGACGGGUGAGUAAUGUAUGGGGACUGCCCGAUAGAGGGGGAUUACUUCUGGAAACGGUAGCUAAUACCGCAUACUAUCGGAUAACCCAUAUGGGUUUAUCUAGUAGGUGAGGUAAUGGCUCACCUAGGCGACGAUCCCUAGCGGGUCUGAGAGGAUGAUCAGCCAAACGGGGACGGAGACACGGCCAAGACUCCUACGGAGGCAGCGGUGGGAAAUAUUGCACAAUGGGCGCAGGCCUGAUACAGCCAGACCGGUUGUAUGAAGAAGGCCCUAGGGUUGUAAAGUACGUUCAGUCGGGAGGCGUUACCGACAGAGGAAGCACCGGCUAACUCCGUGCCAGCAGCCGCGGUAAUUC
rnacentral:rRNA from 1 species